AGCAGCCGCGGUAAUUCCAGCUCUAAUAGCGUAUAUUAAAGUUGUUGCAGUUAAAAAGUUCGUAGUUGAAUUUCGGGAUCAGUUCGCUGGUCGUGCCUCUGGUAUGUACUGGUGUUACUGGUUCCUCCCUUCUGACGAACCGUCAUGUCAUUUAUUUGGUGUGGCAGGGAAUCAGGACUGUUACUUUGAAAAAAUUAGAGUGUUUAAAGCAGGCUCGCGCUUGAAUACAUUAGCAUGGAAUAAUGAAAUAGGACGUUCGAUCCUAUUUUGUUGGUUUCUAGGGUUGACGUAAUGAUUAAUAGGGAUAGUUGGGGGCAUUAGUAUUCAAUUGUCAGAGGUGAAAUUCUUGGAUUUAUUGAAGACUAACUACUGCGAAAGCAUUUGCCAAGGAUGUUUUCAUUAAUCAAGAACGAAAGUUAGGGGAUCGAAGACGAUCAGAUACCGUCGUAGUCUUAACCAUAAACUAUGCCGACUAGGGAUCGGAUGAUGUUAUUUUUAAUGACUCAUUCGGCGCCUUAAC
rnacentral:rRNA from 1 species